AGUAGGACAGAUGGUCGCUGCUGCAGGACCGAAAGGCUGCAGGGGAGGAAAGUCCGGGCUUCACAGGGCAGGAUGCCAGAUAACGUCUGGUGGAGGCGACUCCAAGGACAGUGCAACAGAAAUAAACCGCAGGAUUCAUUCCUGUAAGGGUGGAAAGGCAGUGUAAGAGACUACCGCCUUCCUGGUAACAGGGAGGGCACAUGUAAACCCCAUCCGAAGCAAGGCCGAACAGGGAGCAUGGGCGGCCCGUCCGCUCCCGGGUAGGCCGCUGGAGCCUGGCGGUGACGCCAGGCCUAGAUAGAUGACCAUCCAACGACAUAACCCGGCUUACCGUUCUGCUCA
rnacentral:RNase_P_RNA from 1 species